rnacentral:piRNA from 1 species
UGGUACCUUUCACCACAGAUUUGCCCAGA